GAUGAACGCUGGCGGCGUGCCUAAUACAUGCAAGUCGAACGAGGUGCUUUUGUAGCAAUACGGAAGUAUCCUAGUGGCGAACGGGUGAGUAACGCGUUGGUGACCUGCCCCAAAGUGUGGGAUAACAGUUCGAAAGGAUUGCUAAUACCGCAUGUGGUCAUUGGGUUUAGAAACCGAUGACUAAAGCAGUAAUGCGCUUUGGGAGGGACCUGCGUCCCAUCAGCUAGUUGGUAGGGUAAUGGCCUACCAAGGCGACGACGGGUAGGGGACCUCAGAGGGUGGCCCCCCACAAUGGAACUGAAACACGGUCCAUACACCUACGGGUGGCUG
rnacentral:rRNA from 1 species